UUAACCGAAACGUAUCGUAUGUUAGAAUUCGUGCGUCUCCCAUUAAAUUAACAAUAUCGAUUCUCAGCUACGUGAACGAAGAAGGUGGAUGAUGUUACAAUACUAAAUAAGAAUUAGGUUUGGAGAAGAAAUCUUUUCAUGAACAAAGAAAACGUUUGCAUGUGUACAACAAAGACAAAAUCUAAAUACUAAAUUUAUCUAAAUAGUAGAAAGAAGAAUGAAGCAAUAAUUUCUAAGACAAAGUAUUUCGCUAUGAAACAGCAGUUAAUUUGAUGCAUGAAAGUAGCCUGAAUAAGAUUUUAUAAAAGCACGUCGAGGUAACAAUAUCUAAAAAGAAUGCUGAAUGAUCGUCAAAGAUAUAUACGAUAGUUAUUCCGUUAUUCAUUGAACUGAUCAAAUCAGGCAUGUUCAAACAAUAUACAUAAAUAAUUACAAACAAUAAUGCUAAUAUGAAAUUGACCACAAAAUUGUUCAUGUGAGUAGAAGCUAUGGGUGAAGAAGUGAAGAAUUACGGAAACAAAUUACAGACUAAAUUUGCUUGAAUUACAAA